UACGGGGGGAGCAAGCGUUGUUCGGAUUUACUGGGCGUAAAGGGCGCGUAGGCGGUCAGCACAAGUCAGUUGUGAAAUCCCCGGGCUCAACCUGGGAACUGCAUUUGUGACUGCACGGCUGGAGUGCGGCAGAGGGGGAUGGAAUUCCGCGUGUAGCAGUGAAAUGCGUAGAUAUCAGGAGGAAUACCGAUGGCGAAGGCAGGUCUCUGGGCUGACACUGACGCUCAUGCACGAAAGCGUGGGGAGCAAACAGG
rnacentral:rRNA from 1 species